rnacentral:misc_RNA from 1 species
AACGCACGAGACCUGCGGACCUGCGGAGGGAUCAUUACCGAGUUUUCAACUCCCAAACCCCUGUGAACAUACCAUUUUGUUGCCUCGGCGGUGCCUGUUCCGACAGCCCGCCAGAGGACCCCAAACCCAAACUUCCUUGAGUGAGUCUUCUGAGUAACCGAUUAAAUCAAUCAAAACUUUCAGCAAUGGAUCUCU